AUGAGCAAGAGAGGCAGGGAUGUGUGGGACAUGGAGCUUGGAGGCCUGGACACGGCUCGCCUGCUCAUGCUCCUCGCGCAGCAGCACCAGCACCAGCGCGCCGUCGCCGGGGCGGCGCAGGCGAUGGGCGGCGGCCGCGUGUUCGAGUGCAAGACGUGCAACCGGCAGUUCCCCACGUUCCAGGCGCUCGGCGGACACCGCGCCAGCCACAAGCGCCCCAGGCUCCACCAUCCGCAGCCGCAGCACGCGACCGGCAGCGUCGACGACGACGACGCGGCGCUCCGCCUCGGCCGCCAGGCGCCGCCGCAGCCGGCCAGGCCGAGGGCGCACGAGUGCCCCGUCUGCGGGCUCGAGUUCGCCGUCGGCCAGGCGCUGGGCGGGCACAUGCGCCGGCACCGCGUCGAGGCCGAGGCGGCCACCAACGCGCCGAGCAGCAAGGCCGCGGCGCCCGAGACGGCGCUGGCGUCGUGCGACGCCGGCGGGAUCUGUCUGGACCUGAACCUGACGCCGUCGGAGAACUGCGCCAAGUGCAGAUGCGCGGCGGGGCUCGGCGCCGCUGCCGGGCAGGGUGUGCAUAAGGCGCUCGCCAUGUUAGACUGCUCCCUCUGA
rnacentral:rRNA from 1 species